rnacentral:rRNA from 1 species
CGGACGUGGGUAACCUGCCUCAUACAGGGGAUAGCAGCUGGAAACGGCUGAUAAAACCGCAUAAGCGCACAGCAUCGCAUGAUGCAGUGUGAAAAACUCCGGUGGUAUGAGAUGGACCCGCGUCUGAUUAGCUAGUUGGUGAGGUAACGGCCCACCAAGGCGACGAUCAGUAGCCGGCCUGAGAGGGUGACCGGCCACAUUGGGACUGAGACACGGCCCAA